AUAAUAUCUUGGCUUUUUGGCUAAGAUCAAGUGUAGUAUCUGUUCUUAUCAGUUUAAUAAUAUAUUUUAUUUAAUAAAUUAUUUCUAUUCAUAAAUAUUUAAAUUUAUGGCUUUUGGAUUAUGACUACAAAAUACACACACACAUAUACCCCCCAAUGUUUUGGGCCAUCCUCCACUGUCUCUGUAGGGCACAAGCAGGGAGCUGGAUGGGAAGUGG
ensembl:snRNA U2 U2 spliceosomal RNA